rnacentral:rRNA from 1 species
GAUCCUGGCUCAGGAUGAACGCUAGCUACAGGCUUAACACAUGCAAGUCGAGGGGCAUCAGGAAGAAAGCUUGCUUUCUUUGCUGGCGACCGGCGCACGGGUGAGUAACACGUAUCCAACCUACCCUUUACUCGGGGGAUAGCCUUUCGAAAGAAAGAUUAAUACCCGAUGGCAUAAUGAUUCCGCAUGGUUUCAUUAUUAAAGGAUUCCGGUAAAGGAUGGGGAUGCGUUCCAUUAGGUUGUUGGUGAGGUAACGG